rnacentral:rRNA from 1 species
AACGAACGCUGGCGGCAUGCCUAACACAUGCAAGUCGAACGAGGCCUUCGGGUCUAGUGGCGCACGGGUGCGUAACACGUGGGAAUCUGCCCUUUGCUUCGGAAUAACAGUUAGAAAUGACUGCUAAUACCGGAUGAUGUCGAAAGACCAAAGAUUUAUCGGCAAAGGAUGAGCCCGCGUAGGAUUAGGUAGUUGGUGGGGUAAAGGCCUACCAAGCCGACGAUCCUUAGCUGGUCUGAGAGGAUGAUCAGCCACACUGGGACUGAGACACGGCCCAGACUCCUACGGGAGGCAGCAGUGGGGAAUAUUGGACAAUGGGCGAAAGCCUGAUCCAGCAAUGCCGCGUGAGUGAUGAAGGCCUUAGGGUUGUAAAGCUCUUUUACCAGGGAUGAUAAUGACAGUACCUGGAGAAUAAGCUCCGGCUAACUCCGUG